UCCCCUGUAGCUCAGUUGGUUAGAGCGCGAAACUGUUAAUUUCGAUGCCGCACGUUCGAGUCGUGCCGGGGGAG
rnacentral:tRNA from 2 species